UACGGAGGGGGCGAGCGUUGUUCGGAAUCAUUGGGCGUAAAGGGCGCGUAGGCGGCCGUCCAAAUCGGGUGUGAAAUCCCUCGGCUCAACCGAGGAACUGCACUCGAUACUGGUCGGCUAGAGUCCGGGAGGGGAUGGUGGAAUUCCCAGUGUAGCGGUGAAAUGCGUAGAUAUUGGGAAGAACACCGGUGGCGAAGGCGGCCAUCUGGACCGGAACUGACGCUGAGGCGCGAAAGCCAGGGGAGCGAAUGGG
rnacentral:rRNA from 1 species